rnacentral:rRNA from 1 species
GAUGAACGCUGGCGGCGUGCCUAAUACAUGCAAGUCGAGCGAACGGACGAGAAGCUUGCUUCUCUGAUGUUAGCGGCGGACGGGUGAGUAACACGUGGAUAACCUACCUAUAAGACUGGGAUAACUUCGGGAAACCGGAGCUAAUACCGGAUAAUAUUUUGAACCGCAUGGUUCAAAAGUGAAAGACGGUCUUGCUGUCACUUAUAGAUGGAUCCGCGCUGCAUUAGCUAGUUGGUAAGGUAACGGCUUACCAAGGCAACGAUGCAUAGCCGACCUGAGAGGGUGAUCGGCCACACUGGAACUGAGACACGGUCCAGACUCCUACGGGAGGCAGCAGUAGGGAAUCUUCCGCAAUGGGCGAAAGCCUGACGGAGCAACGCCGCGUGAGUGAUGAAGGUCUUCGGAUCGUAAAACUCUGUUAUUAGGGAAGAACAUAUGUGUAAGUAACUGUGCACAUCUUGACGGUACCUAAUCAGAAAGCCACGGCUAACUACGUGCCAGCAGCCGCGGUAAUACGUAGGUGGCAAGCGUUAUCCGGAAUUAUUGGGCGUAAAGCGCGCGUAGGCGGUUUUUUAGUCUGAUGUGAAAGCCCACGGCUCAACCGUGGAGGGUCAUUGGAAACUGGAAAACUUGAGUGCAGAAGAGGAAAGUGGAAUUCCAUGUGUAGCGGUGAAAUGCGCAGAGAUAUGGAGGAACACCAGUGGCGAAGGCGACUUUCUGGUCUGUAACUGACGCUGAUGUGCGAAAGCGUGGGGAUCAAACAGGAUUAGAUACCCUGGUAGUCCACGCCGUAAACGAUGAGUGCUAAGUGUUAGGGGGUUUCCGCCCCUUAGUGCUGCAGCUAACGCAUUAAGCACUCCGCCUGGGGAGUACGACCGCAAGGUUGAAACUCAAAGGAAUUGACGGGGACCCGCACAAGCGGUGGAGCAUGUGGUUUAAUUCGAAGCAACGCGAAGAACCUUACCAAAUCUUGACAUCCUUUGACAACUCUAGAGAUAGAGCCUUCCCCUUCGGGGGACAAAGUGACAGGUGGUGCAUGGUUGUCGUCAGCUCGUGUCGUGAGAUGUUGGGUUAAGUCCCGCAACGAGCGCAACCCUUAAGCUUAGUUGCCAUCAUUAAGUUGGGCACUCUAAGUUGACUGCCGGUGACAAACCGGAGGAAGGUGGGGAUGACGUCAAAUCAUCAUGCCCCUUAUGAUUUGGGCUACACACGUGCUACAAUGGACAAUACAAAAGGCAGCGAAACCGCGAGGUCAAGCAAAUCCCAUAAAGUUGUUCUCAGUUCGGAUUGUAGUCUGCAACUCGACUACAUGAAGCUGGAAUCGCUAGUAAUCGUAGAUCAGCAUGCUACGGUGAAUACGUUCCCGGGUCU